CAGGCGUUGUGGAUUCAAAGUCAAAUGAAGUUCGAAGGUUUGAACUACUAAGGAGUGAGCUAAUGGAACUCGAGAAGCGGGUUCAAAGAAGUGCUGAUCAAUAUGAAUAUGAUGAGGUGUUUUCUAACUGCUGUAGACAGCCUUUUUAUUUCUGCUUUCUUUUGUCUCUUUCAUAUUGUGAAGUUUGUUAAUGUCUAUUGGGGCUCCACUCUUUCAUCUUCAGCAUAAACUUAUAGGCUAGUAUCAUGACGGCUGACUGAUUAAUGAUGAUACAUAAGUAUUCCUGUUAAUUGACGUAUACCUGUCCACUUUAUUCUUCUUGUUGAACAUGGCUUAUCUUGCUUGUGAAAGCAGUAAAGUAUUUUCAUUAUAAAAUGGGUUUUUGGGUUUUUAUUCUUUAUUUUUCUGUCUGUUUGUAACUACUGUUGUGACAAUAUGUGAAUGGUGGAAUAAUUCUGAUCAUAUUAUUUUGCGCUAAAUAAUAUGAUGGCCUAUUUCGCCAGGCAUGGACCUUUUGUCAAUAUCAAUUUCCAUGAAAGAGAUAUAUUGCCCUUAUGUAAGAGGUUCAACUUCCAAUUCUUUUAUAAUUUGGAGAAUACUUCCAUGCUAAAUGCGUAUAAGAUGUAGGUGGAGUUUGGCACUAUCUAUUUUAUGCUUUAUGUAAAAUCUUAUUGUUUUGUGCUCAUUUUUUGUUAGAGUUCCACACUCGUCAAGUGUAUUGGUUGCUCUUUCCUUAUAGUCUUGAACAUUUCUCACCUCAUGAGUUAGGUUCCGGCCUUCCGGGUUGAUCUAGUCUCUGUGUUCAUUUUUAUAUGGUUUCAAAGCGGAGCCCAUCUCUGAUUUUCUAGUUGUUGAUUAGUGUAAUUAUAAGAAGAUUUGAUUAGAUUAGAUUUUAUUCUCUAGCUUAAUUAUAGGCUGAUUUUAUUCUGUAGCUUAAUUGUAGCAAUUGCUGAUUUCCUUUCCUUGUUUAGCCAUAAGAUACAUUGUAUAAGUAUCACUACUUUGAUGUGAAUAAUAUACAUAAAAUACAAGAAGUUCUAUUCUUCUUCUUGAAAUCUUCAUAGUAUCAGAGCCAAGCCCAUCCCAAUUAUUGUUACCGAUGUUGGGCUCCCAUUUAUGUUGUCCACACUCCAGAGGCCUGAGCGUGAAGGGGAUGUUGAGUUGUCCCACAUCGGAGGCAUUUGAGGUCCUUGGUCUCCUUAUAUGGCUUGGGCAAUCC
rnacentral:lncRNA from 1 species